rnacentral:rRNA from 1 species
UACGUAGGUGGCAAGCGUUGUCCGGAUUUAUUGGGUUUAAAGGGUGCGUAGGCGGCCCUGUAAGUCAGUGCUGAAAUACCCCGGCUUAACCGGGGGGGUGGCAUUGAUACUGCAGGGCUUGAGUACAGAUGAGGUAGGCGGAAUUGACGGUGCAGCGGUGAAAUGCAUAGAUAUCGUCAAGAACACCGAUAGCGAAGGCAGCUUACUGGGCUGUAACUGACGCUGAUGCACGAAAGUGUGGGGAUCAAACAGG